GAUUAACGCUGGCGGCGUGCAUAACACAUGCAAGUCGAACGAUGAAACUUAAAUGAUUUCUUCGGAAUGAACUUAAGUGGCUUAGUGGCGGACGGGUGAGUAACGCGUGAGUAACCUGCCUUACACAAGGGGAUAGCCGUUGGAAACGACGAAUAAUACCCUAUGAAACUAUCACUUCGCAUGAAGCGAUAGUCAAAGUGUUAGCGGUGUAAGAUGGACUUGCGUCUGAUUAGCUAGUUGGUGAGAAAAAAGCCCACCAAGGCAACGAUCAGUAGCCGGCUUGAGAGAGUGUACGGCCACAUUGGGACUGAGACACGGCCCAGACUCCUACGGGAGGCAGCAGUGGGGAAUUUUGCACAAUGGGGGAAACCCUGAUGCAGCGACGCCGCGUGAUUUAGAAGGCCUUCGGGUUGUAAAAAUCUUUUGUAUAGGAAGAAAAUGACAGUACUAUACGAAUAAGGUUCGGCUAAUUACGUG
rnacentral:rRNA from 1 species